UCCAAGCCCGACACAGUCCCUGUGCACACUGCCGGUCGCCCUGGCCCUUCUCAAACGCCGUCACCCCGCCUCCCAACUUCGCAAUUGCGAUUCCCAGCCCAGGAGGUGUACAGAUUGAAUGACUCGCUACUUGGUGGGUGGAGGGGUUGGGGAAGGGAGGAAGGAGGGAGAUGUGGGGCGGAGGAGGAGGAAGAAGAGAGAUGACUCUUAGCUGGAUGCAAGCAAGCAAGCAAGGAGGAUGGCGAGACUCACUCCUGCCCGCAGGAGACCAAAACAAAAAGUUCAGAAAGCAAAGGAAGUGGUAACCGGGUCCCUUCCAACUUGAGACUUUAUAUUCCUCCCUCUUCUUUUACUGCUGCCUCAUAGGCCUCCCCGGGGGUGUUCGCUGGGGAUGUGAGCAGGUGGGGGAGGGUGCUCUGGGUGAGGGGACCGCACCAUUUUCUCCCAAUUCACUUUCAUUCUAGUCUGAUGAUCACUGACGCUCCAUUUUCUUCCCCUGUCUCCCUUAGGUUUUGACCUCCUGGUUAAGAAACAAGAAUAAUUAAUGAUGACUUUUUAUUGAAGCCCCAGUGGGUCACUAAGAACUAGGAAUGUCACUGUCAGUUCCCACCCUGUCGAGUGUACACCUCGUGUUGAGGCACUUUGUUGAGGUACCCUUCCUUUUAGCCAUUUCUGUCCCUACAAGUUUCCCGGAGAGCAGGUGUUCUGAGCACAGCGGAGCUCUCAUUUUAGAAGGAAAGGCAAAAAGGCAAGGAAUAGAACAAGCGUGGGCUGGGGCAGGAAUUUAAAUAGUAACGACGGCCUCCCUCGUUAAAGGGAGAAGCCGAGGCCAGCGCCCAGGUGAGACUAGAAGUGAACCCACAGGGCUGCUGGAAGCUACGCUCCAUCCAACCUGUUGGACUCGGGACGAGGAGGUGGGGGCGGGAGGGAAGAGCAAGUGACUCACCUGCAGCUCCUGGCACAUCUGAUCUGCGCACAACCGGCGCCGCAGAGAUGCUGCUGCCAUUCGGAGUCACUGGAUAUGGAAUGGGCCACCUCAAGAAAUAAAUGUGUAGACUGAAUGAUGUACCUGUAGGAGCAUCGUUGGUCCUGGAAUCAGCUGGCUGACCACAGCCUCAAGUUGUCAGUUGAAGGUAGGUAAGAUUCUGAAACUGGAUAAUAUGUUGCAUGGCCAUCUUUAGAAGGACAGAGAAUUUAUUUUAAUUUUCCUUUAUUUUCAUUUUGAUUUUUAUCAAUUUCAAAUACGUUGUAGUCCUUGUUUUUCAGAAAAUCACAAAAGGAAUUGAAGAAAUAGAAAGGAGACAAGUAAAGGAAAAAUGUAGAUCAGAUUAAGGCAAGAAAAUAAAAUACAUUUAAUUAAAUACAAUAACAUAUCUUCUUCCAAUUCUAUGGAUAUAUGAUGAGUGCUAUCCAGAUACAAGAUAUGAAGAAAGGUAAAAAGAAAACCAAAUCCAAAGUACGCAAACACUAUAUUUUUGGCAUUACUGUAGUACAUACUUUUCAACCUUUUCCCAAUAGAAUCUUCUUUCUACCAUCACAGUCACCUGUGUAUAAAUCACCAAUAUCUCCUGCCUAUACCACUGUUGUAUCUUGCGGAGUGGCAUUCUUGCUUCUACUCUUGAUUUUUCCAAUAUGUUUUUCACACAACUGAGUAAACAUGUAAAUAGAAGGCAGGGCCUCUAAUUAACAGCACGCAUGAGCAGGCCCUGCUGACUUUACCAUCCUCAUGCCUAACUCCUUCCUCCACAUGCCUGCCCCACUCCACCACUGUUCCACCCAGUGUUCACUAAGGUAGGGUCCACUGAGGUGCUUUAGUUCCUUAGAUAGUUCAAACUGUUGUUUUUCUUUAAGACCUAUAUACCUACUGUGUCCUUUACCUGGAAUAGUGUCUUUUCAGCUUUUGUGGCCAUAGUUCACAAUAGAAAUAAACUGUACACCAUGAUGCAACAUGUGUGGGUGCGUGUGUGUGUGUGUGUGUAAAAACUAAAACUAGAGUUUACAAAACAAUGCUGAUUCUUAUCCUUACCAUAUGUGAUAUCUCUGAAUAUUUUUAAAUUUUUAAUGACUAGUCAUGAUUCACUUAAUUGAUUUUAUAAGCCACUAUUGUAUUGAAACCCAGAGUAAAAUUACAUGUUAAUUUUUACUUAUAAUAUCAUUGUGGCAUUGACAUUCCUUAGGUUUCAAAUUAAAUGUUAUAAUCUAUUCAUGACAGUUGCAUCUGACCACCCAAUCUAAAACGAGUCCUUCUAUUGCUAGUCCACAUUGAGUCAUAACAUAGUUAAACAUUUAUUGUUUUACCUGUUACUGUGUUCCAACAGACUGUAAAAUCUUUGCAGAAAGGGCCUGCAACUUCUAGUUUACUGUUUUGUAUCCAGUGUCACGUAUACAGCCUGAUAUAUCGUAUAGGUCAUCGAUAACCUCUAACAGCUCCUCUCAGUGUGUAGUGGUUACAAAAAGUCAUCCUGCUAUCAGUUUUUGGAAGUCAAUUAUGAGGAGAAUUUUAGUUGUGCAGGUAAGCAGGAAAAAAAAAAUCCAUGUUAAAAAAUAAAGGCAAUAAUUAAGACUCAAAACAUUUUUAUUUGUAUAAAAUUAUUGUAUUAGUUUCCUGUGGAAACUGUAACAGAUUACCACAAUCUGGGUGGUUUAAGAUAACAGGAAUUUAUUCUCUUUUCUGAAAGCUAGAGUGUGAAAUCUGUAUCACUGAGCCAAAAUCACAGUGUCAAAGGGCCAUACUCGAUCUGAAACCUCUAGAGAAAAAUUCAUCCCUAGUUUCUUCUAGCUUCCAGUGGCUACUGGUAUUCUGUGACUUGUGGCUACAUCUCUAAAAUCUUUACCUUUGCCUUCAUCCUUAUGUUAGCUUAUCUGUUUAUAUCAAAUCUCCCUCUGCUGCCAUCUUAUAAACUACAUUGUGAUUGCAUUUUGAGUUUGCCUGGAUAAUUCAAAGUUGGGGAAACAGAGUAAAGACAAUAAUCUCAAAGCAACAAGAGAAGCCUCAAUAUUUAAUGACUCUACUGAAGCAUAAACAUAAGCAAGUGAGUAGGAUUUAGUGAUAAGGGACUUAAAAGAACAAUCUGAAGUUCUAGUAUACAUCAUGAAGGGGGAAAGAAAUCAAAUAGAUGCCAGCAGUAACAAUGCAGAGAGUAUUUCUCCAGCCACUCUGGUUAUCAUCAGGGUGUUUACAGAUGUUGCUCAUAGUUUAUGGGGCUAGGCCUUCAACACACAGAAGGUUGAAUAAUGCUCAACAGAAUAAAUUUUAAUAUUUCUAAAAUCUGCACAUAAAAGAAUCAGUAGUUUAAAUAAUUUUUUACAUAGGUAAUUUGCCACAGUAUAUGCUACUGUAAAGUAGCAUCAUAAUUUUAGUGUCUAGAUUGGCUAAAACCAAUAUAGCAGUAUCUGCUGUCCUUACAGAACUUUCUCUAGGUUUCUUACACAUUAUGUGCACUGCUUUGUCACUCAUCUAAGGACUUAACAGUUUAUUUUAAAGAAGUUAGGAUAUGAUGGAAUAAGAAAAACAAACAAACAAAAAACAAACAAACAAAAAAACCAGGAGCCUCUGUGACCAAAAAUACUAUUUCUAGCAAAACUAUAAUUUUUCACUUAAUAUCAAUCCUCUACUUGCUUAAUGUAACUUCUAUUUUUAUUUAGGCAGCAGUGACCACGUUUCUAACAUUUCCUGUAGCUAGGAGUGACCUGUGACCAAAUUCUAGCCAGUGAGAUGCAAAUGAAAGUGUCGUGGAGCAUUCUGCGAAAGACAUAGGAGCUGCCUUUCAGUGAGACUGAUAAUUUUCUUUCUUCUGAAUUCUUGCCAUGUGUAAUAUGCAUAUGAUUAUGUGAACUGCAAGUUUCCUGGACUAUAUUGUACCCUUUGAAAAGAAAUCCAUGCAAUCAAGAAGAUAAAGCAAAAACACAAGAGGUCUUUGCUUUAUGGGGGAACAAUUGACUUUAUUUAAGCUACCGUUGUUUUGAUGUUUUUGUUGCAUGUGGUUAAACUUAAUCCUUUUCUAUCUAAAACACUAUUAUGUAUCAUUAGUUGUUUAAUUGUGUCAUUGAUAAUAUUUACUCAAAACUUCAUUCUGUAGCAAAAUGUCAGCAUGCGUAGGGCUACUAAAAAGUUUAUAGGAGGCUGGGCAUGGUGGCUCAUGCCUGUAAUCCCAGCACUUUGGGAGACCGAGGUGGGCAGAUCA